UUGGUCAACAUACAGAAUUGGAGCAUCACAGCAACCUUCUCAGAUUUACACAGUUGUAGAGACCAUUAAUGCAACACCCCAUUUGACUGCCUGUGACUUCAGGGUCCCCUUCACUCCACAAAAGUGGAAUCAUAUUGACUCACAAAAACAUAAAUAAAAAUGAAAAAGAUCAUUCCAGCAAAGCAUGCUCUUGAAGAAGUCAACAAAGUGAAACACUGGUCUCACCUUCAUGCUAAACCCUGAAAGAUUUCCAGCAUCUCCUCCGAAGUCUUGGUUCUAGCUGUGACCCUGCUCAUGUCUGCUUUGUAGAAAAAUGCCUCUAGCAGAAGACGAUUUCACUGUAAUCCCUAAAUCAAAACAAAGUGGGAAAUACACUGCUGUUUGUGUCAAUGUCUAAUGCUACACAGCAUGGUGUUUUCAGUUUUAAUGAAGAUCAGCUGUGACAAAGCUACAUGGAGUAAUGGAAGAGAAAUCGCUUUUUGAAAACAAAAAGCUUUUUAAAAAGUCACAAAGGGACCGGAGGAGCCAUGAGUGCAUUUUCUACCUUAACAUUGCGGCAUUCCUCUGUGGAACCUUCUGCUGUCAGCAGGGAAUGAAAAAUUGCAGUUGACAUCUACACCUGGCAUUUGUCUCCAGUAAUGGUUAAUGCAGGGACUGUGUUCUCUUGGCUUAGUCUCCACCUGUCAGCUACUCUUUAGGAGAAAAGAGAGCAGGGAGAAACCAAAUAGAUUUAGGCUUCCUUAUUUUGAACCAGGUUUCCAGUGAAAUCUAUAGGCAAGGGCCAAAUCUGCAUCCUUAAGGAAACGAUUACAUUGUGGCCCUGCUUGUCUCAUCUCCUUCAGAUCUGCUGUUCCAUCCAUUCAUCUGUUAUGGAAAUUUUCUGCCUGCCUUUUCAUUUCAGGAGCUAGAAAUCAAUUUUUUAAAUUUGGCCCAUCCUUCAAAGAUUAUGGAAAGCCUGUGACAUAGGUGUAUUUUGAAAUAGAGAAUGCACUUCUAUGUCUCUGAGACAGAAAGUAAAAUGCUGCUGAAAGCUGGGGCCUGAAGAGUGUUUCCAUUUGCUACAGGAACAACAGCUCCUUGGCAGAGACUUAAUGAAGCAGUAAAGAUGGAAGGUGGUUCCUCUGCGUGUUGUUUCACCCUCAGAGGAACAUCCCCCAGGCUGAUGGCUGUGGGCCUGGUGUGGAUGUAAUUGGUCUCAGAUUCCCUGUCUCCUCCUAACCCAGAGAUGCUCUAUUACAUCCUCAGGGAUCACCCGUGGCACGAUCAUGUUCAAGACCUUUGUCCUGAAAGCUGGUGUCUUUUUUUCUUGCAUCGAGCAGGAAUGACUGCAACUUAAGAAGGCAAAGCAAAAGUAUCACGCUAGCUAGCUUUUAAACUCGUUGAUGUUAGAGAUUAUCCAUAUCAUUUUUUUGGCACGUUAGGCGCACAGACUCUAUGUCUACUUAUUGUAGCUCCCAGGAGUACUCUGUAGCUUCUAGAUUUGGAUGCACACUACGGCAGUAACCCAGCUCUGUAGUUUUUUGACGAUCAUCCCCACCAUACAAUGGAAACCUGGGCCCAGUUCUUCCAAGGGAGCUGGGGCACGCUCUGGUCCUCUUCCAUGGCUGAGACUUAUGAUUGUCCAAUGAAAGGUGAUAGUUUGCUUUUCCACCGUGGCAAGUUAAAAUAUCUUUGAAAGACAGCACAGAAUGCAAUAAAAGAAAUAACAAGACUAAAGUCUGGGCCAACACUGUUGCUGAGCAGAAAGGCAAGAGAGUUGUUAUAGCAACAGAUGAAGGAGGUUUUUUUAACAAGUGUAAGCACCUGAACCUUAGAAAGCUAAUGUAGCUGUAAUUGAGAAAGUCUAAAUGGUACCUUUCAGGCUUACGUGCGUUUGCUGUGCUUUCACAUCAAGCUGACCAAACCUGAGCGCCUGUAUUAUUUUCAUCACAGGCCCAAGCUUUUAAGACCUGUUGAGGAUCCAAGCAUAUAUCAGUCCAGCCCGUAGACUGCUUUAAUCAGGACAUGCGGCUCUUGGAUUAGAGUUGUUUGCACAAUGCUCUGGAGCACGCGCAGACCAAGCUUGCAUCUGCCCGCAAGGUACUGUUGCAGGCAUGCCCUGACUGAAUUUACUUUGGGGAAAUAUUUCUCUCUUGUUUUGCUGUCAUUAGCAGUGCUCUAAAGAUGAGAGUGAUCUAAAGCAGAGCAUCAGCUGCUAUUUGUCACCGUGCCAUCUCUCACCCGGCACGGGGCAAGUCUAACCCACUCAGUAAUAACUAAACAUCAGCCCCCUGAGCCCGGAUUUGCUCUAGCAUUCCUGCCCCUAGUAAGGCUCAAAUAGUAGUUAUUACACGAGUAGGAGUUUUUCCAGCGCACACAAAACCAGGGGAAGGGAUUAGAAACAGCCACAAACAAGGCGUAGAUAAAUAAACGUACCGCUAAAAGCCAAUCAGUUAUUUGACCUCAGGUUCAUAUUUCUGUAAACAUGUAUCUUGGCAACGUAUCAUUCAGUUUCUCAAUACGAUGUAAUGCAAGUCCUUCCUCAUUUAUCUCAGCUGUCUUGUUGUGUUAUGUUACAAAUGAUUACAGUUAAUUCUGUGUUUAA